UAGUUGGUGAGGUAACGGCUCACCAAGGCGACGAUGCAUAGCCGACCUGAGAGGGUGAUCGGCCACAUUGGGACUGAGACACGGCCCAAACUCCUACGGGAGGCAGCAGUAGGGAAUCUUCGGCAAUGGACGAAAGUCUGACCGAGCAACGCCGCGUGAGUGAAGAAGGUUUUCGGAUCGUAAAACUCUGUUGUUAGAGAAGAACAAGGAUGAGAGUAACUGUUCAUCCCUUGACGGUAUCUAACCAGAAAGCCACGGCUAACUACGUGCCAGCAGCCGCGGUAAUACGUAGGUGGCAAGCGUUGUCCGGAUUUAUUGGGCGUAAAGCGAGCGCAGGCGGUUUCUUAAGUCUGAUGUGAAAGC
rnacentral:rRNA from 1 species